rnacentral:rRNA from 1 species
AACCGACCUGGCUCACACCGGUUUAAACUCAGAUCAUGUAAAAUUUCACAGGUCGAACAGACCUAAUAAUUUAGCUUCUACACCAAACAUUUAUUUUAAUCCAACAUCGAGGUCGCAACCCUUCUYUUCGAUAAGAACUCUAGAAAAGAUUACGCUGUUAUCCCUAAGGUAAUUUAAUCUUACAAUCUCAAACUGAGGCUCUAAUAUUCAUAUAUUAAUGAUUUAUCCAAAAAAAAGUUAACUUAAUUUUUCUAUCACCCCAAUAAAAUAGCUUACUAACCAGCAAUACCUAAAUUCUUAUAAACUACUGAUUAAUAAGCUAUAAAACUCUAUAGGGUCUUCUCGUCUUCUAUUAAUAUUUAAGCUUUUUCACUUAAAAAUAAAAUUCAAUUAAAUUUCUAUAGAGACAGUCUUCUUCUCAUCAAACCUUUCAUUCCAGCUUUCAAUUAAAAAACUAAUGAUUAUGCUACCUUUGUACGGUCAAUUUACCGCAGCCAUUUAAUACAAUCAAUCAUUGGGCAGGUCAGACC